GGGGCCAUAGCUCAGCCGGGAGAGCGCUUGCAUGGCAUGCAAGAGGUCGGCGGUUCGAUCCCGCCUGGCUCCACCA
rnacentral:tRNA from 4 species